rnacentral:rRNA from 1 species
GAUGAACGCUGGCAGCGUGCCUAAUACAUGCAAGUCGAGCGAAUGGAUUAAGAGCUUGCUCUUAUGAAGUUAGCGGCGGACGGGUGAGUAACACGUGGGUAACCUGCCCAUAAGACUGGGAUAACUCCGGGAAACCGGGGCUAAUACCGGAUAACAUUUUGAACCGCAUGGUUCGAAAUUGAAAGGCGGCUUCGGCUGUCACUUAUGGAUGGACCCGCGUCGCAUUAGCUAGUUGGUGAGGUAACGGCUCACCAAGGCAACGAUGCGUAGCCGACCUGAGAGGGUGAUCGGCCACACUGGGACUGAGACACGGCCCAGACUCCUACGGGAGGCAGCAGUAGGGAAUCUUCCGCAAUGGACGAAAGUCUGACGGAGCAACGCCGCGUGAGUGAUGAAGGCUUUCGGGUCGUAAAACUCUGUUGUUAGGGAAGAACAAGUGCUAGUUGAAUAAGCUGGCACCUUGACGGUACCUAACCAGAAAGCCACGGCUAACUACGUGCCAGCCGCCGCAGUAAAAC